AGAUGCGGGGCCCGCCAAUUGGGCAGUGACGGAGGAUCAGACGACAGAUAGCGAAGGAGCAGCGGCACUCCUGUGCUAUAACCAGCCGAGGAACCAAUCGCAUUGCGAAAGUGACGGAGAAAGAGAUGAAAAAGAAAAGAUAUAAGGCAGAGGAAAGAGCGACCGCAUCGCAAGGGCUCGCGUCGCGGUUCACUGCGCUCUACUGAACACCCUCACUGUCUGUUGUUAACAAGACGGAGAGAAGUGAAGAAGUCCUCUUCCUGAACCGAUGUUUUCGUUUAUUGGCGUUAUCGCUGAAGGCGACAACGACGACAGCAGAGGCGUUGUGUGCAGAAAGGAGGUGUGAAAAGGCGAGGAUUUAGAGCUCUGGUGACGUGCUAGGGA
ensembl:ncRNA F38H4.15 ncRNA